rnacentral:rRNA from 1 species
CCCUUAGAUGUUCUGGGCCGCACGCGCGCUACACUGAUGAACGCAACGAGACGACCUGUACCGAAAGGCAUGGGUAAACUUGUGAAAGUUCAUCGUGAUGGGGAUAGAUUAUUGCAAUUAUUAAUCUUCAACGAGGAAUUCCUAGUAAGCGCGAGUCAUCAGCUCGCGUUGAUUACGUCCCUGCCCUUUGUACACACCGCCCGUCGCUCCUACCGAUUGAAUGGUCCGGUGAAAUCUUCGGAUUGCUGGAUAGGAGGACAACCACCUAUCUGCGAGAAGUUGCUUGAACCUUAUCAUUUAGAGGAAGGAGAAGUCGUAACA